rnacentral:rRNA from 1 species
GACGAACGCUGGCGGCAUGCUUAACACAUGCAAGUCGAACGGAAAGGCCCUGCUUUUGUGGGGUGCUCGAGUGGCGAACGGGUGAGCAACCCGUGAGUAACCUGCCCUUGACUUUGGGAUAACUUCAGGAAACUGGGGCUAAUACCGGAUAGGAGCUCCUGCUGCAUGGUGGGGGUUGGAAAGUUUCGGCGGUUGGGGAUGGACUCGCGGCUUAUCAGCUUGUUGGUGGGGUAGUGGCUUACCAAGGCUUUGACGGGUAGCCGGCCUGAGAGGGUGACCGGCACCAUUGGGACUGAGGUACGGCCCAGAAGCCGACGGGAGUCAGCAGUGGGGAAUAUUGCACAAUGGGCGGAAGCCGGAUGCAGCAACGCCGCGCGCGUGAUGACGGCCUUCGGGUGGUGAACCGCUUUCGCCUGUGACUAAUCGUGAGGGACGGUAAUGGGUUAAGAAGCACCGGCUAACUACGUG